rnacentral:lncRNA from 1 species
AAUAUAUCUGGAGUUCAGCCAUUCAGGCACUCAUAGGCCACUAAGGCCAUGGUCCAAGGGGCCAGGUUAAUGCUCAAGCUGGUGGUAGACCUUGGUAUCAUUCACAUGGUGCUGGUUUUUCAGUCAUGCAGAAUGCAAGAGUUGUGAGGUCAUGGAGGCUUCCAGCCAGAUUUCAGAAGAAGGCUUGGGAGGCCAGGCAGUGUGUCCCUGAGAGGGCGAUGUGCAAAGCUAUGAGAGUGAAGGCAAAAGAGCAAUGGAGACUCCCAAGAAGUUGGAGAUGCCCGGAACAUGAGAUAUCUGCCAAAGAAAACUAGGAAGCAAGGAGAGCCAGCCUGAGAGAGGGCAUGGAUUGAACUCAGGACCUUGUGCUUGCCAGGAAGCCACCAGCACCACUGAGCUAAAUCCCCGGCCCGGAGUGAACAGUGGAGAACGAAAUGUACUUCUGCCUUACCAAACCUGUGGCCCUUGAAGGGCAAUGCUUUCUAUCUGGUCCAAAACAUUUUUCUGGGGCCUUCUCUCAGCUACCACAUCCCAUCCACUCCCCUUGGCAUGUGGCUCCUUCCAUCUUCGGUCCUGCGGUGGUGAAAUGAACUCUUGUCAUGCUCUGGAUCUUGAAAUUUUUCUUCUGCCACAAGCCAGAGAAAACUCACAGCUUUUAAAGCUUUCAGGAAUUGCUGGAGCCUGCAGAGCACAAUUUGAAAAACAUUGAGCUCAUCUUCCUCAUCC